CGGUUCGACUCGUUAGGUUC
rnacentral:miRNA from 1 species